GUGGGGAAUCUUGCGCAAUGGGCGAAAGCCUGACGCAGCCAUGCCGCGUGAAUGAUGAAGGUCUUAGGAUUGUAAAAUUCUUUCACCGGGGACGAUAAUGACGGUACCCGGAGAAGAAGCUCCGGCUAACUUCCUGCCAGCAGCCGCGGUAAUACGAAGGGGGCUAGCGUUGCUCGGAAUUACUGGGCGUAAAGGGCGCGUAGGCGGACAGCUUAGUCAGAGGUGAAAGCCCAGGGCUCAACCUUGGAAUUGCCUUUGAUACUGGCUGUCUUGAGUUUGGGAGAGGUGAGUGGAACUCCGAGUGUAGAGGUGAAAUUCGUAGAUAUUCGGAAGAACACCAGUGGCGAAGGCGACUCACUGGCCCAAUACUGACGCUGAGGCGCGAAAGCGUGGGGAGCAAACAGGAUUAGAUACCCUUGUAGUCC
rnacentral:rRNA from 1 species